AGGGGCCAUUGUGACAUAUAUCCAGGCCAAUUGCCUAGGUGAAGUUUGUCUCCUUUCCUGCCUAAGCCCUGCCCACGGGGAAGAUUUAGAUAUAUCACUAAAACCAGCACCCAAGUGAUGUGACUCUUCACCAGAGUCCUGCCCACAAGGAGGAUUGUGACAUUUCACUGGACCAGCACCCACUCAGACUCUGCCAAGAGAGGGGAUUAUUACAUAUUGCAGAGCCCAGCACCUAGGUGGAGUGACUCUCAUCUUUUUCUUCUACCCCGUAUAUAGCCAGCUUGGUGACCUACUAUUUGAGUCUAUACCCAGGCCCAGACCACAGAUGAAAUUGUGCAAUAUGUGGAACAAACACCUAAACAAUAUAUAACACCUUCCUUGGCUCUGUCUACAAAGGGCACUUUUAUAUAUCACUGGGACCAUCAACCAGGUGAUAUAACCCUCUUCUCUGGAAUGGGCCCCACACAAAGGAAGGAUAGUGACAUAUUGCAAGCCCAGGCACACAGGCCCAGAGCACAGUUGAAAUUGUGACAUAUGUACACCAAGCAACCAAGCAAUGUAUAACACCUCAUUUGGCAAUGGAAUCGAGGGCACUUUUACAUAUCACUGAGACCAGCGCCCAGCUGAUGUGAAAUAUUGGCCUGAACCCUGCCUACAAAAGCAUUGUGGCUUUUAUCUAGCUCCAUUACAUAAGUGAUGUGACUUCCUUCUACUGCCUUGGCCCUGCACUUAUGGUGAAUCGUGACACAAAAUUGGGUAGAGCAACCAGCCUGGGCCCUGACCAGCACAGAGAUUGAGGCAUAUUGCUGAACCCAGGACCAAGAUGAAGUCACUCUCCUGCCUUGAUCCUGCACACAGGGACCCUUGUGACAUAUAUACAGGCCAAUUGCCUAGGUAAAGUUUGUCUCCUCUCCUGCCUAAGCCCUGCCCAUGGGGAGGAUUUAGAUAUAUCACUGAAACCAGC
rnacentral:lncRNA from 1 species